rnacentral:rRNA from 1 species
GACGAACGCUGGCGGCGUGCUUAACACAUGCAAGUCGAACGGUGACGAAUGGAGCUUGCUCUGUUCUGAUCAGUGGCGAACGGGUGAGUAACACGUGAGUAACCUGCCCCUGACUCUGGAAUAACUUCGGGAAACCGAAGCUAAUACCGGAUAUGACACAGAGCUGCAUGGUUUCUGUGUGGAAAGUUUUUCGGUUGGGGAUGGACUCGCGGCCUAUCAGCUUGUUGGUGAGGUAAUGGCUCACCAAGGCGACGACGGGUAGCCGGCCUGAGAGGGCGAUCGGCCACACUGGGACUGAGACACGGCCCAGACUCCUACGGGAGGCAGCAGUGGGGAAUAUUGCACAAUGGGCGAAAGCCUGAUGCAGCGACGCCGCGUGAGGGAUGAAGGCCUUCGGGUUGUAAACCUCUUUCAGUAGGGAAGAAGCGCAAGUGACGGUACCUACAGAAGAAGCACCGGCUAACUACGUGCCAGCCGCCGCCGUAAAAC